rnacentral:rRNA from 1 species
UACGUAGGGACCAAGCGUUGUCCGGAAUCAUUGGGCGUAAAGAGCUCGUAGGCGGCUUGUCGCGUCGAAUGUGAAAACCCACGGCUCAACUGUGGGCUUGCAUUCGAUACGGGCAGGCUAGAGUGCGGUAGGGGAGAUUGGAAUUCCUGGUGUAGCGGUGGAAUGCGCAGAUAUCAGGAGGAACACCGAUGGCGAAGGCAGAUCUCUGGGCCGUAACUGACGCUGAGGAGCGAAAGCAUGGGGAGCGAACAGG